rnacentral:misc_RNA from 1 species
GAAAUGCGAUAAGUAAUGUGAAUUGCAGAAUUCAGUGAAUCAUCGAAUCUUUGAACGCACAUUGCGCCCGCCAGUAUUCUGGUGGGCAUGCCUGUCCGAGCGUCAUUUCAACCAUCAAGCCCCCGGGCUUGUGUUGGGGACCUGCGGCUGCCCGCAGGCCCUGAAAACCAGUGGCGGGCUCGCUGUCACACCGAGCGUAGUAGCAAUCACCUCGCUCAGGGCGUGCUGCGGGUUCCGGCCGUUAAACAGCCUUACAAAACCCAAGGUUGACCUCGGAUCAGGUAGGAAGACCCGCUGAACUUAAGC